AUGGAUGGAAUAAAUAAAGGUGUCCAGAGGCGGUACUAUGGAUGGCCUCUGGAUAGGAGGCAUUCUCUAGAGACAGGAAGGACUCGGCUCCCUUCCAUACAGAGGUCUGGCAGAGAAGCAAGACCAUGGAGCUCCCUCCACGAGGGAUCAGCAACCUGGCAGCUGGAAGGAGACAUGAAAGAUGGGGGUGAGAAGGUAUAA
rnacentral:lncRNA from 1 species